UAGGGAAUCUUCGGCAAUGGACGAAAGUCUGACCGAGCAACGCCGCGUGAGUGAAGAAGGUUUUCGGAUCGUAAAACUCUGUUGUUAGAGAAGAACGUUGUGUAGAGUGGAAAAUUACACAAGUGACGGUAUCUAACCAGAAAGGGACGGCUAAAUACGUGCCAGCAGCCGCGGUAAUACGUAGGUCCCGAGCGUUGUCCGGCUUUAUUGGGCGUAAAGCGAGCGCAGGUGGUUUAAUAAGUCUGAUGUAAAAGGCAGUGGCUCAACCAUUGUGUGCAUUGGAAACUGUUAGACUUGAGUGCAGUAGAGGACAGUGGAGUUCCAUGUGUAGCGGUGAAAUGCGUAGAUAUAUGGAGGAACACCGGUGGCGAAAGCGGCUCUCUGGACUGUAACUGACACUGAGGCUCGAAAGCGUGGGUAGCAAACA
rnacentral:rRNA from 1 species